rnacentral:lncRNA from 1 species
CAAGCUGGCAUGGGCAUGAUUCAAGAUGUCAUUUCAAAAAUUAGAAAUGCAGUUUCUUUUAUUCAUGCUUCAAGAUCAAGACUUCAAGAAUUUAAGGAACUAUGUAUAAAUCAUGGUAAACGUUUUAAAAAAUUUAAACUUGAUGUAAUUACUCGUUGAAACUCAACAUAUAGCAUGAUACAUGAUGCAUACCCAUAUAAAAACUUAUUAAAUGCAUAUAUUAAUGAUCGUGGAUUAAGCUUUACAUUGACUGAAAUUGAUUGGAAUAAAGAAAAA